AGAAGAAGAGCAGGUAUGACGUAGGAGAGAGGAGGAGAAGGGUUUGGGCAGCACUGCCCGUUGCAGCCCGCCCCAGAGAAAAAGGGAGCGGGCAGCUCAAAUGUGCAGCUUAUUUGGGGGGUGGCAACCCUUCCCCCCCGUAACCUGUUGUUCAACCAGACAAAAUUACAAGAAAAUAUCUAAUUUUUUUUUUGCAUAGUUUGUAAAAGAAUUUUUUUCAUAAUUAUAAACAAAAAAAACAAAGAAAAAAACAACUUGAGCAUGUUAAACACACACAUUACAUUAAAAGAAAAGAAAAAAACACAAGAGGAAAAUGAAAAAGGAAAAAAAAGCACGUGAUAAAAUGUAAAGAGGAAAAAAGCAAAACACACAGAACGAAAUGCAGAAUUAUAUUUUGAAAUUUUUAUUUUUCUAUUCUAUGUAAUCGAAGAAAUGGGCGUGGCUAAAGAGAAUUGUAUUUUAUUUUCAUUUCAUUUGUCACAUUUUAAUUUGGUUUUUGUUUUGAUUUUCGAUUUUAAACAAAAUGCCACGUCCUAAAAUUACGUAAAUCAAAUGAAUAUUAAAUCACAAAAGAUAACUGAGAACAGUUUUUAGCUGAGAAAUGCGAUAAUGACGAUAUUGAUGAUCUUCUUUCAAAUUUCGAUGAUACAAUUUUGAUUUUUAUAAUUUAUGAUUUUUGAUUUUUGGUAUGCAUUACGAAUAAACGAGCAACAAAAUGUGUAGAUCUUUUAUUUUGUAAACACACACUCCCCAAAGGAACUCUCUCAUACAAUUAUCCAAAAUUUUACUUUAUUUUUAAAUAAUGAUUUAACAAUUCGAGUGAGGAACAAACACACACAUACACAAAUUUUGAAUCGAAACAUACAUUAUAUAAAUAAACAUUUCCCAAAACAACUUUAUUUCGAUUGGUUUCUUUAUUUUUUUUUUAAUCUAAUAUAUUGAAAACUCUAAUUAAGUCUCUUUUAAGUGAAAAAACAAGAAAAAUACAAAUUGGAUUGGCUUCGGACCCACCGAAGAUUUAAUGCCCUUGCAGUUGAUCGUAUUGUAAUUCUUCCACUUGGAUACUAACGAAAGUUCAGGAAUAUAUAUAUAUAUAUAUAUAUAGAGAAAUAUAUAAUCUAGUUAAGGCCCGUUGGCAAAUCCUCUGCAAGGGAAUAAACGGGAAGGGAAGAGCCAAUUUAGUUUUGCGAAUGCAACAACGAAGCAGAAUCCAAACCCCAUUUAGGGGUAAAACUAGCAUUUAAGAGUUAAGCUGGACAAAAAAGAAAAAAUCACAAAAAAAAAAUUAAAUUUGAAGCAAAUAUUGUUAAAUAGCAUAUAAAGAAAUAUUUUUUUUUUUCAUACAUACAGCUUGGUUGUGCUGAGUACGAAACAUUCUAAAGACAAAAUAAAUUACAAAAAAAGAAACAGAGAAAAUCGACAAGAAAACAGAAUAUACCAAAGUAAAUAGAGAUUUUUUUUCUAAUAAUAAAUAAUAAUCUUGCAUACACAACUAAAAUUUAACAGUUGAGCUGAGCUGGGCUGAUAUUAAGAGAGGAAUUUGAGAGGCAAUGUGAGAAGUUGUAGGAGACUAGAACCGAUAAGGAACAAUCUUUUUUGUUUGGAAUGGGAAAAGGAACAGAAGGGAAAAUGAGAAAGAAGCCAGUAUUAAAAAAAGUUAAGUUAAAUUAGAAACUAAGUUGUAGGCAAGUGUGGCAAACUGAAAAGAAGAAUUCCGAAGAGUGAAGAAUGGAAGAGAAAUCACAGAAGCACAAUUAGCAAGCGCCUCUCUCAGCGCUUCUCACUUCUCAGAGUGGUGUCAGUCUCAUAUAAGUAUACAGCACAUGGUACGUUAACGAUAUUGACACGACAUUUGUUUGUGUCGCAAUCAAUCGUAGUUACACAACAGUCACAGUUCACAGUUACAGAAAAAACAAAAAAUAAAUAACAAAAAAUGAAUACUCAACCAAUCGUAGCCUUAGCUUGUAAUGAAAUAUCGGAUUAAUCCACUUAGCACUUAGAGUCUCGUCUCUCGUGAAUAGUUCUAGUUAAGCAAAUGCGAAAAUAUUUUUUUUUGUCUUGUCCAAUAAUCAAUAAACAUAGCUUAAAGGGUCUCAUCAAUUGUUCAAGUUAAGAAAAUCAGAAAAAAACACAAAAAAUUACAAAAAAAAAUAUAAAAAUUUAAAAAAUACAAAAAAAGAACUACAUAAAGUAAAAACUAAAAAAACAUAUUUUUUUUAUAAAGAUAAGAUGAUUUUUUUUUUGGUGUAUUUUUUUUUAAAUCAACAUUUUUUGAGCAUGUGUAAAACCCAAUAUUUUUUUGUAGUGCGGAUACAUACAUAAACAUAAACAUGUUUUUUUUUUAAUAUUUUAAACUAGAUACGAGGAAGAAGAUAUUUUUGUUCUUAAUCAUAAGCAGCCAAGCUAAUUUUGUUGUAUAAUUUUUUUGAUCGACAUAUUUUUUUUUAACAGAAAAAGCGCAAUUAGCAAGAAUGAAACCAAUAAUUAAAGAAUAAUAAAUAAAGAACAUAAUAUACAUUUAUAUUUAAAGGAAACCUCACGAAAAACUACUUACAUACAUUUGAAAUGUUGUUCAAGGAAUAUAUACUUAAAAAUAUAUAUAUAUAUACAUACAUUUUUUUAUGAAUAUAUCGAUAAAUGUUUAGCGAUAACAGAAUCUUUUUAUAAUGCAUUACAAAUCGACGACGCAUACAAUUUUUUUUGUGUUUAGCAUAAGAACAAAUCUAAAAAGAAAAACAACCAACAAAUUUUUUUAUAAUAAAUGGAAAAAAAAAACAGAGAGAAAAAAUCAACACAAUAAGAAAAUAAAGAUAAAAAAAUGAAGCAAACCAAAUAUAUUAACGAAUCGAACCUCAAAACUGAUUAGUGAAAAUAGUUUCUUACGUAUGUAUAAUCGAAACCAGGUAAACAAUAUAUUAACCAUACGUUUUUUUUUGUCAAAAUGCAUAGCAAAUUGAAUGAUUAUAAAUAUAGAGGAAACAAUAAUUAACUAGUUGACAAAACAUAUGGUGUUGUCUAUAGCUGAUAACGGUCGAUAAAUCAAGUCAUGAAGUCAAGGCGCUAAUUCUAUCCAAAUCGGUUUAUAUACACAUACAUAUUAUAUUAUAUAUAUAUUCGUAAUUUCGAUAACAUUCAUUUCUUCUUCUUCUGCUCCAGAAGCAUAUUCCAUGCGUUCAUCUUAUAUACUAUAUAUAUAUACAACAUAUAUACUAUAUAUAUAUAUACGACUCAAGUAUAGACCGAAAUUUUAUAUAUAUACUGCAUAUACAUAUACUUAUAUAUAUACACACACAUAGAGUACAUACGUAUAAUGAAACUAUAUAUACAUACAUCAACUAAAUGAAGAUCUUUUUUUUUUUGGCUUAGAAAUUGUAACGGUACUACAUAACAUACAAUAUAUGAGAAAGAAAAACACAUAAAAAAAAAUGAAAAGAAAACAAAAACCCCUCAAACUGCUUUCAGAUAAUUUGAGUGCGGAACGUGAACUGCCCUUUGAGAGAUUUUUAAAAAAAAUAAUGAAAACACCAAACAACAACAACAACAUAAAGUAGAUAAAACCAAAUGAUAAAAGAUUAAUUAAUGGCAGCAACACGUAUGCAAAGAAAGUCUAUAAAACGAAAGAUAAGCAAUAUACUACGUAAAUACAUAAAUGAUUACAUUAAAUAAAGGAACAACAAAAACCAAACAAGUAACGUAUAAAAAGGCAACAACUUAAGGAAAUAUAUUCAACAGAACCCAAAUAGAAAAACCCCAAAAACGAAAACAAACCAUAAAUUAUAUAUGUAACUAUAUAACAUACGUAUACAAGAAUACAAAAAAGGAAAAAAACAAUGUUAAGUAAAGAAUAAUCGCGCGCCGCAUUUUUUUUUAUGGACGAAAUUUAAAUUACAAACGCAUAAAUAGAAAAAACGAUAAACUACACUACACACACACACAUAAAAGAAACACCUUGUAAUGUUGGUAGUUUACAUUACGCGUAUUAUACAUGCAUGCAUAUAAAUAUAAAACAAAUAUAUAUAUACAUACAUAUAUGAAAGUGAAAGAACAACUUGAAUUUUAAUUAUACAAAUCAAUAUAAAUACAUAUGCGUACAUGUGUAUGUAUAUAUAUAAAUUGACAAAAACGUAUAUAUACAUAAAUUAAUAGCAGCUAAUUGUUGUACUAAGACGUCACAUUAAACCAAGAUAAGAACAAAUAAACGAAAAUAUUUAAAAUUCGAAAAGCAGUUGGCAACGCCAAAAGAUGUUAUUACUUCCCCAAAAAUAGCUGGUUGCUAUGUCACUCGAAUGACAUGCCAUUUGCAUGAAAAGCUAGAGGUGGAGAAUCAUCGAUCGCAACAUCGAUUUCGAUACUUUUGACCAUCAUUAAAUGCUACGUCGAUAGUUUGCAAAAGAGUUUAAAUUCAUUUACUAGUAUUAUUUAUACAAUGAUAAACUAUUAUUUUAUAAUGAAAUGCAAAGUAAAACUGCAAUGUUUGCUGUUACAAUAAUAUUCAAAUUCAUCGUAAAAUCGAUAGUGCUCCAUCGAUGUUUUUCCACCUCUAAAGCUAGCGAAUACAAAAAUAGUUUUUGGCGGGCGUGUUUUUUGCAGCAAUUCAACAAAAAUAAGUUAAUGUGAGAAAUUGUGUGACUUUAUCGUGAAUUUAUUAAGUGGAAGCGGCAUUUUAGCAUUACAUCACGAUUCGUCAAGUAUUUAUUAUGCAUUGCUUGGUCAUUGUAAGCGUCGUCAUUUUGUGGUGCCAUCAUCAUCAAAAAGUUUGCUCAUUUAACAGCGGUGGAGUGCAGCUGUUGUCAAUGGGUUCUGCAAGUGUGGAGCACUUCUGUUAACAAGUGUGUGAACGCACAAAGUCUGGCAACGUUGUGAGUGAGCUCAACAUGGCGCGUCAAAUUUGAACAUGGCCGAGGAAACAACUGGCUGAAUUGACGGGAUUUCCCCUACUAAAGAAGCUGGAUAUCGGCGGCACUAUAUGAUGAAUAGUAAGUCAACAAAAAGGACCUUCACCAGCUUUUGCACAUCUGGACACAUUUCUCAUCACCAUUUCCAAGUUUUCAUCCUCCUUAAAUCGCUCAUAUACUAAAGAAUAACAUUUUUUAAAUGAAAUGUUGAUUUUUAUGCUUCAUU